AUGCGGAGGGGACUAGCGUUGUUCGGAAUUACUGGGCGUAAAGAGUACGUAGGCGGUCUAUCAAGUUGGGUGUGAAAGCCCGGGGCUCAACCCCGGAACUGCACUCAAAACUGAUAAACUAGAGAUCGGAAGAGGUAAGUGGAAUUCCCAGUGUAGAGGUGAAAUUCGUAGAUAUUGGGAAGAACACCAGUGGCGAAGGCGGCUUACUGGUCCGAGACUGACGCUGAGGUACGAAAGCGUGGGGAGCAAACAGGAUUAGAAACCCUAGUAGUCC
rnacentral:rRNA from 1 species